rnacentral:lncRNA from 1 species
CCUCGGCGGCGGCAGAGGCGGCAGCGCUCGCCAUUGCCGCUGGUGGCAGGAGGCUGCGAGGAGCCGGCGCGGUCGCAGUCUCCACGGCGCAGGCCCACGGUAGCGCAGCCGCUCUGAGAGUUAGAGACCAGAUAUCCAGAAUCAAGGUGUCUGCAGGGCUCUAGAGGAGAAUCUGUUCUUUGCCUCUUCCAGCUUUUGGUAGCAUUCUUUGACUUGUGGCCACAUCACUCCAGUGUCUACCUCCAUGGUCAUAUUGUCUACUGUUUAAUCUCCAUUUGGGUCAUUCUUAUAUGGAUACUUGUCAUUGGAUUUAGGACACACCCACAUAAUUCAAGGUAAUAUUUUCUCAAGAUCCUUAAUUUAGUUAUGUCUUCAAAGACCUUUUUCCCAAAUAAGAUAACAUUCACAAAUUCCAGUGAUUAGGACAUGAACAUAUCUUUUUUGGUAGCUACCUUUAUUAUUAUUAUUAGUUAGCUUUUUGUUGCUAGGACAAAAUACCUGACACAUACAACUUAAGAGAGGAAGGGUUUAUUGUCAUUCACAAUUUCAGAGGUUUCAAUCUAUGAUUGGCUGGCUCUGAAGCAGAAACAUCAUGGAAGGAGCAUGCAGAAGAAAGCUACUAACCUCAUGGUGGCCAGAAGGGAGAGAGUGAGGGAAGAGCCAUAGAGGAAGGGGCCUGGAAGCAAAUAUUUCCCAAGGUCAUGCUCCUGUGUCCUAGAUUCUAGAAAUGUACUUUACUAAUCUAGGCAUCUCUCAGUCCAGUCUAAUUGAUGAUCAAGAUUAACCAUCACACAACCUUUCAACCCACUGCUUGCUCUGGGAUUAAAUCCUGAUACUGACCCCUACUAGUUCUGCAGCCAUAGGCAUGUUACCUAACCUUUCUGAGCCCCAAUUUUAAGACAUAGAUAAUAAUGCCUUUAUCAUUGAUUUGUGAAGAUAUAAAGAAAAUUCAUGUGAAAUUCUUAACACAUGGUAGCUACUUCAUCAAGUGUUGCUUUAGUCAUAUCAAACUACCCUGAUAGCACAGUUUUGUACUGUGUCAGCAUCCCUGGUUAGCAUGUGUGGCCUAGAACCUAUCAUAAGUCAUAGGAGUAGUAUAAUAAAUUAUGUAGUAAAUUCUACAAUAUCUUGGAUUUUUCUCUGUUCUAGACACCAGUUAGCCAACUAUGAUGUAGCCCAAGUUUAAAUUUAGGAUUAUCUGUAACUAUAUCAUAAAAUCAGCUCAGCAAGCUUAGAAUUGCUUAAAAUCCCCAAAUCUUUCAUAGAUGAUUAGGACUACAGAGUGCCAAAGAAUGUAUAUAUCAGGAAAAGAGAAACAUAUUAAUAUUUUAGUAUAUGUGCUGCCGAAGCGAGCACUAUAUUAAUAUUUUAAUACUAAAUUUAUUGAGAUAUCAUGAGAUUAAUACAAGUUACCUUUGGCCUCUACAAUUACAAGAGGUACUCACAGUGGUGAUCAUUAGCUUCCAGACAUUUAUUAGUAGGGAACUGCUGAAGUGCGUAUACACUUUUUUGCCAGACUGUAUAUUGUGUUGUUAUGUAUUUAGAUAGGAGUGCACUUUGACACAGGUUACAAGUGUUACAUUAUUAAGACAUAGUACCUGGUGGCUAAGUUAAAACAUGCUGAAUUUAGUGUUGCUGUGUGGUUUAAGGAAACUUACCUAUUGUUUUGCUUCAGAGAAUAUUUCUUAAAGCAAAUGCUGUGAUAAAUAUAAAAAGGAAAAGAACUACCAGUGAAGGAGUAACUAUCAGCUAUGUUGGGCAGAUAGAUGGUAUCACUAAUCAAUGGCUGAUCACUUCCAGGCUGAUGGACAGCUUUCUCUUGACGUUUCUAUCAGGUAUAAGAUGUGUGUCCAUUGCUAAUGUGAUAAAUGUGCAUCCAAUGAUUUAUGUAUCUACUCAUAUUUUUUGGAAUGAGACAGAAUACUAGAGAAAUGAGUAGUGUGGAAAUUGUAUCUUUUUUUUGUUUUUUUGGUACCGGGGAUCGAACUUGGGACCUUGUGCUUUCGAGGCAGGUGCCAGAACCAGUGAGCUAAAUUCCCAUGCCCUGGAAAUAGUAUCUUUUAAAAUAUCUAAUUUUGAAGGCUGGGGUAGCCUAGUGGUGCCACCGCCUUCCUCAAAAGCACAAAGUCCUGAGUUCAGUCCCUGGUACCAAAAAAAAAAAAAUCUAAUUUUGAAUAGGUAUUGCAUACACAUUGUUAAAAAGUCAAACAGUAUAAAAAGGAAUACAGUGCAAAAUGAGUUUCUCUCCCCCAGUUUCACAAAUGAUAUGGUAACAUAUAUGCAUAAAGUACUUUAAAAAAAAAAGACAUUUUGUAUCCUAAUCCUUAAGACCAGUGUAGGAUUUAAAGUUUUUUGCCCUAUUGUUGAAAGACAGGGAACCACAUUCUGUAGGUUUUCGUUACUAAUUUGAUUGUGUGGGAUGCAUUCUCAAGAGAAUUGUAUAUGAUGAUUUUGUCAUUUGUGAAAGAAUUUUCCUUAAAGGGUGAUUCAGUUUAUACCAGAGAAACAAAACCUAUCUUAAUUCAGGUCACUUACUUAGAAAAGGAGUAAAGAAAAAACCUAUCAGUUCAAAUUGGUUUAACACAUUAUCUUGGUACUGCUCAGCCCCUUUUCAUGCUUGCUAGUGAAUUACUUGUUUUGAUUGUAUUGAUAGUGAGAUAAAAUAAUUUCAGGUAGUACUGGUCCAAUUUAGGAAGACCUGGACUGUCCAAAAAUAGAAGGGCUUUGGCAUUCAUCACAUUCUACCGUGGGUUAUUAUUUGUAGUUGUUAUUCUAUAAACCAGUGGUUCUUCUCAGAAACCUUCUAUUUAAAAAAUUGAGGACUUCAAAGAGCAUGAUGUGCUAAAUGCAUUUUGCAUAAUGAGAUGAUGUGUUAGUUACUUUUCUCUCUUUGCUAAGACAAAAUACCCAACACCCAAAGUUAAAGGGGAAAAGGUUUAUUUGGUUUACAGUUUGUAGAAGUUUCAGUCCAUAAUUGCCUAGGUCCAAGGCAGGGAUGGCAAACAGGCAUUGCAGAGGAGAAAUAACAUGGCAUGCACAGUGUCUUUCUGCUCCUUUUAUCUUAUUCAGACUACCAGGAUUGGGGCGGUGCCAAACUAAUCACUCAGGGCUAGUGGUUUAGUAAUCAUCCACCCUUAAUCCUACCAUCACACACUCUAGAUUAGCUACCUUGGAAAAAGACUGCAUGAGGCUUUGAGGGGACAUCUAGACAAAGCCACAACAGAUGGGCAUGAAGUCUUUGGGGGGGUCAUGGGUAAAAUGUUAUGGUUUAGAUCUAAAAUGACUCCCAAAAUUUGUGUGGAAUGUGAUUGGAUCAUGGGAGAAUUAUACUCAUCAGUGGAUUUAUCCACUGAUGAAUGUUCAUAGCUCAAUGUGCUAUGGAGAUAGAGCCAGGUUGGAAGAGGUUGGAAGAGAUGGAUCACUCACUGGGUGUGUGACCUAGAAGGGUAAAUCUCCUAGCUUCUGCCUUCUCUCUGUGCUUCCUGGCUUACUGAGUGAGCAUCUUUUCCUCUUUUACGCCCCCUCUGCCAUCCUGUUUCUGCCUUGGAGCCAGCCAACUAUGGUCUGAAACAGUGAGCCAAAAUAAACUUUUCCUCCUUUAAGUUGUGGGUGUUGGGUAUUUUGUCCCAAAGACAAGAAAGUGACUCAGACACCCAGGUUGGGCUCAAACUUGUAAUCCUCUUGCCUCAGCCUCUCAGAGUACUGGGACUACAGGUGUGUGCCACCACACCAGCAGGGUUAGAGUUACAACUUUUGAUAUUUACAA